rnacentral:lncRNA from 10 species
GAGCUCCUAAGCCCCUUGGAAUUUCCUGGACGAUAGGAGAAUCUUUUGUUCUAAUGAGGUAACUCUUGAUGGGCUCCUGGGUAGCCUCAGGAUGGGAGCUGGUUGCCAGGGAAGCCAACCAUGUGAUUAGGGAGUUGGAACUUUAACCUGGCUCCUCACCUCCAGGGAGGGGAGAGGGGGUUAAAGGUUAUUUGCUCACCAGUGACCAAUAAUGUAAUCAAUCAUGCCUACAUAAUGAAGUAUCCAUAAAAGCCCAAAAGGACAGGCAGGGUUCAGAGAGCUUCCUGAUAGCUGAACACUAGGAGGUUCCUGGAAGCUGGCCUGCCUGGAGAAGGCAUGGAAUUGCCACACCUCUUCUCCCUACCUAUACAUAGGGCAAGGUAUGGGAGAAAAGGUGUGCAGAUUCCUCUUCCAUCCAGCUGUUCACCUGUAUGCUUUGUAAUAUCCUUUAUAAUAAAUGGGUAAAUGCUAGUAAAGUGUUUCUCCGACUUCUGUGAGCCACUCUAGUGAACUAAUUGAACCUGAGGAAGGGAUCAUGGGAAUCCUGAUUUACAGCUUGGUCAGGAGUAUCGGUGACAACCUACUACUUGUGGCUGGUACUGGAAGUGGUGGGGGCAGUCUUGCAGAACCGAGCCCUCAAUCUGUUCGAUCUGAUGCUGCCUCCAGGUAGAUAGUGUCAGAACUGAAUAGAAUUGAGACACCCAGCUGAUGUCUGCUAGAAAAUUGAUGGUUUGAUGUGGGCGGGGGUGAGGGGGGACCGCUAUCCCACCCCAUCUUGUUGCAGAAGUAUUGUAUUGAGUAGUAUUUGAGAACAGGGAAAAAGUUUGGUUUUUCCUCUCUCAGAGACAAAACAUAGUGCCUGGAACAUGACUGAGAUUUCAGCU